rnacentral:rRNA from 1 species
GACGAACGCUGGCGGCGCGCUUAACACAUGCAAGUCGAACGGAAAGGCCCUGCUUGCAGGGUCCUCGAGUGGCGCACGGGUGAGUAACACGUGGGUGCUCUGCCCUGCACUUCGACAUCAGCCUGGGAAACUGGCUCUAAUCCCGGAUAGGAGCCAUUUUUAGUGUUAUGUUUGGACAGUUUUUUCUGUGUAGGAUGAGCUCGCGGCCUCUCAUCUUGCUGGUGGGUGCAUGGCCUCCCAAGGCGGCGACGGGUAGCCGGCCUCGGAGGGUGGACUGCCACAUUGAGACUGAGAUACGGCCCAGACUCCGACGGGAGGGAGAAGUGGGGAAGAGUGCACGAGGAGAGCAAGGCUGAUGCAGAGGCGCCGCGGGGGGGAUGACGGCCUUCGGGUUGUAAAAUCCAUGCGCUAGGGACGAAGCUUUUUGUGACGGUACCUAGAGAAGAAGCACCGGCUAACUACGUG